rnacentral:rRNA from 1 species
AGAACGAACGCUGGCGGCAUGCCUAACACAUGCAAGUCGAACGAGACCUUCGGGUCUAGUGGCGCACGGGUGCGUAACGCGUGGGAAUCUGCCCUUGGGUUCGGGAUAACAGUUGGAAACGACUGCUAAUACCGGAUAAUGACUUCGGUCCAAAGAUUUAUUGCCCAGGGAUGAGCCCGCGUAGGAUUAGCUAGUUGGUGAGGUAAAGGCUCACCAAGGCGACGAUCCUUAGCUGGUCUGAGAGGAUGAUCAGCCACACUGGGACUGAGACACGGCCCAGACUCCUACGGGAGGCAGCAGUGGGGAAUAUUGGACAAUGGGCGAAAGCCUGAUCCAGCAAUGCCGCGUGAGUGAUGAAGGCCUUAGGUUGUAAAGCUCGUUUACCCGGGAUGAUAAUGACAGUACCGGAGAAUAAGCCCGGCUAACUCCGUGCCAGCAGCCGC